UCUGCUAUGUCAUGCAGGUCACCAGGGA
rnacentral:piRNA from 1 species